CCUACGGGUGGCUGCAGUGGGGAAUAUUGGACAAUGGGCGAAAGCCUGAUCCAGCCAUGCCGCGUGUGUGAAGAAGGCCUUCGGGUUGUAAAGCACUUUCAGUGGGGAAGAAAGCCUUGGGGCUAAUACCCUCGAGGAAGGACAUCACCCACAGAAGAAGCACCGGCUAACUCCGUGCCAGCAGCCGCGGUAAUACGGAGGGUGCGAGCGUUAAUCGGAAUUACUGGGCGUAAAGCGCGCGUAGGCGGUCUGAUAAGCCGGUUGUGAAAGCCCCGGGCUCAACCUGGGAACGGCAUCCGGAACUGGCAGGCUAGAGUACAGGAGAGGAAGGUAGAAUUCCCGGUGUAGCGGUGAAAUGCGUAGAGAUCGGGAGGAAUACCAGUGGCGAAGGCGGCCUUCUGGACUGACACUGACGCUGAGGUGCGAAAGCGUGGGUAGCAAACAGGAUUAGAUACCCGAGUAGUC
rnacentral:rRNA from 1 species